GCAGUUUCUGUUACUUUAACAUAACAUAUAAUUUUAAAAGGGAAACUGAAGUUCGUUGACAUGCAAAUAAUUUCAAUAAGUAAGAAAAUGAAUAGUACACAAAAAAGUCAUACACAUUACGGAAAACUUCUUUGUAGACCACAUUUGAUGCAACAUCGGUAUAAUCGCCGUCCUCGUCAUUAAUCAAUAUUUUUAAAUCACC
rnacentral:lncRNA from 1 species